rnacentral:misc_RNA from 1 species
GCGCAUGCUCAUCUACAGAAACGCCGCUUGGCCUUUGGACUACACCAUCUGUCGCUCGCUCUAACGAGCCGGCGUUGCCGCCAGGGGACGCUCGGGCCGCAGGAGGUCGCUGGGUCGUGAGCUGGCGCCGGGGACGCCGAGCGACUGCGGGGUUUCCCUCAGCGUCCUGCUAUCCGGCUGCCCGCCGCGCUCCUUGGUAGUGUCCGUGGGCGCGCAGGCCUUGAAGAACCUCCUCGUGGCGGGACCCCGAGCGCAGGAGAGGUGUCAAAGAGCUGGCGCGUCUCCAGAGCCCCGGGAGGAAGGCUGUAACGGCAGCCCCAUCGUAGACAGGGACAUUCGCAUCCCGAGCCCUGGAUCUCUGAAAACCAGCCCAGAAUUUGGAAGCUGGAAGGAACUUUAGAUCGUCCAUUCUGAGUGUCUCUCUUCGCUGGCGUUUUCCCACUGAGGUUAUGUAAACAUGAAGAGGAGCCUACAAGUGUCAAGGAAAAAACGACAGCUAACCACAGGGCAGGCCAUGGGCAAGAUAUCUCAGUGUUCUCCGCUCUCAUAGGUCAGAGUGAGACUCACCUAGGCUGGACUGCAAUGGUGCAAUCUCGGCUCACUGCAACCUCCGCCUCUCAUGUUCAAGCCAUUCUCCUGCCUCAGCUUUCCGAAUCGCUGGGAUUACAGGUCACGACCCCCAGGAGACCUGGAGGACUGAAUGCUGCUGCCCCCAAGGAGGAGGCUGCCGUCUUAUCCCAGGAGGGAGAGCAGGUGAAGUCCCCAGGGGAGGAAGCACCUAGCCCCAUUCCUGCUGAGCAGGAGGUGGCAGGUACCCCAGACUGGGAGGUAAGGACAGCCCGGGGCUUCGACUGAACGUCUCCAGCGUGGGUCCAACUGAGCAGCCAUGGAGCACUGCAGAGUGGGAGGCAGCAGGGCAGGGAGGCAGUGCUGGAGGCUGGCUCAACCCCAAGACCAGCAGGCCAAGCUGCCAUCCCAGGGGAGCGAGGACGUCUGUGCAGAGCUGAGAGGCAGCAGCCAUGUGUGAACAGACUGGGCCUCAUCCUGGCCCCACCGACUUUGUGUGGACAGAGCCUGUUUCCCUGUCUGUGCAACACAGAACCUGCCUGAUCUCACUGCUGGAUCCCUCUUCUUCCUGCCAGGAAAAUAAAAAGGUUCAAAAGGAAGUUGCUGCGUAUCCAUCUGAGGCCUCUGAGGACAGCAAAGAGCAAAGGCCCUGGGACCGGGUCUACGUGCCCAUGACAGAGCUCUGGCUGGACUGGUUCUGAGCCUCUAACACCCCCAAGACUCAGAACCGUGAAGAAAAUCUUUCCAAUAAAUCCAAGAGUUGCUGCUGCUAUAGGCCAGGCUGCCACCUUUCGGGGCCUCCGUCUUCAGACAAACCCAGCCUGGCUUCAUCCACACUCCCUGUCCCCACAGCUGCAGGAACAGCACUUCCUGCCACCGAGCCGUGUGACCACAGUGGAUUGUCUCUGGAGGGGCCCAAGGGGGCCCUGGCCACCCUUCUGACUGACUCGGUGCCAGGGGACAGACCAACGUCCCUCUCGUGCUGACAGCCGGGCCGCACCCUGGCAUGAGGGCAUUUACAGAAAUGCUGGCGGAACUGCUGCCAGGGAGGCUGUAGGGUCCUCUGGCAAAAGAGGCCUCAGGUGGCUCCUCAGAGUGUCUGUGGUUCUCUGUCCCAGGCUGUUCCCUAAGAAGGUCUGCCCAGGACUCAGGUCACGACCCCCAGGAGACCUGGAGGACUGAAUGCUGCUGCCCCCAAGGAGGAGGCUGCCGUCUUAUCCCAGGAGGGAGAGCAGGUGAAGUCCCCAGGGGAGGAAGCACCUAGCCCCAUUCCUGCUGAGCAGGAGGUGGCAGGUACCCCAGACUGGGAGGUAAGGACAGCCCGGGGCUUCGACUGAACGUCUCCAGCGUGGGUCCAACUGAGCAGCCAUGGAGCACUGCAGAGUGGGAGGCAGCAGGGCAGGGAGGCAGUGCUGGAGGCUGGCUCAACCCCAAGACCAGCAGGCCAAGCUGCCAUCCCAGGGGAGCGAGGACGUCUGUGCAGAGCUGAGAGGCAGCAGCCAUGUGUGAACAGACUGGGCCUCAUCCUGGCCCCACCGACUUUGUGUGGACAGAGCCUGUUUCCCUGUCUGUGCAACACAGAACCUGCCUGAUCUCACUGCUGGAUCCCUCUUCUUCCUGCCAGGAAAAUAAAAAGGUUCAAAAGG